rnacentral:rRNA from 1 species
GACGAACGCUGGCGGCGUGCCUAAUACGUGCAAGUCGAACGCUUCUUUUUCCACCGGAGCUUGCUCCACCGGAAAAAGAAGAGUGGCGAACGGGUGAGUAACACGUGGGUAACCUGCCCAUCAGAAGGGGAUAACACUUGGAAACAGGUGCUAAUACCGUAUAACAAUCAAAACCGCAUGGUUUUGAUUUGAAAGGCGCUUUCGGGUGUCGCUGAUGGAUGGACCCGCGGUGCAUUAGCUAGUUGGUGAGGUAACGGCUCACCAAGGCGACGAUGCGUAGCCGACCUGAGAGGGUGAUCGGCCACAUUGGGACUGAGACACGGCCCAG